rnacentral:rRNA from 1 species
GACGAACGCUGGCGGCGUGCUUAACACAUGCAAGUCGAACGGAAAGGCCCUGCUUUUGUGGGGUGCUCGAGUGGCGAACGGGUGAGUAACACGUGAGUAACCUGCUCUUGACUUUGGGAUAACUUCAGGAAACUGGGGCUAAUACAGGAUAGGAGCUCCUGCUGCAUGGUGGGGGUUGGAAAGUUUCGGCGGUUGGGGAUGGACGCGCGGGUUAUCAGCUUGUUGGUGGGGUAGUGGCUUACCAAGGCUUUGACGGGUAGCCGGCCUGAGAGGGUGACCGGCCACAUGGGGACUGCGAGACGGCCCAGACUCGUACGGGAGGCAGCAGUGGGGAAUAUUGCACAAUGGGCGGAAGCCUGUUGCAGCAACGCCGCGUUCGGGAUGACGUCCUUCGGGUUGUAAACCGCUUUCGCCUGUGACGAAGCGUGAGUGACGGUAAUGGGUAAAGAAGCACCGGCUAACUACGUG